rnacentral:lncRNA from 1 species
UUUUCUCUUGAAAAUCGCUUCACUUAUUUCCUAAGGGAAUUGGGUGCGAUGAAUGCGAGGUUUCAUUCUUCUAUCUACUUUCAUAUAGUUUUCAAGCAAAACUAAUUUCAUUUCAUCAUUAUGUCAUAAUAUGAAUGACAUAUAGCGACACACUUAGCUAAUUUUUACUCUGCAGAUCCAAAUCAUGAUACUCUUUUUUUUUUUUUUGUAACACUUCCAAAUCAUGAUACUCAAAAUCUAUGAUUACUCUCAUUCAAUAUUCCUUUUUUCUUAUUCAAUAUUCUUUACUCAAUGUUUUAAACGUUAAACUCGAAUUUUGCUUCAACUAUGUGUUUCUA